GGGUGAACAGGGUGUUUAUGAAUACACUGAGCUCAAGACAGUCGCAAUGAAAAUAUCUCAGAAGAACUCCUAAAGAAGCCAGCAGAGUGACGAGAAACUCUCAGCAGUGGCUACAUGUCUCCUACAAUCACCAGCAGAGGGUUGUUUUAUUACAGGGUCUUCUGUUGAUUUCUUAAACAUAAGGAAUCCAUCAGCAUUACUGUAACUCAUAGAAAACAUAUAGCUUAAUUCUUCUAAUACAUGACCCUAAUUCAUACCCAAGAAGAAAGGGAUACAUUUAGGUACAUGCUCUUUGUAACCCAGUCAUGAAAAAGUGCUUUCCAUUGUAGCUACUUGUCUACAGCCCUCAUUUGAUGUGAUUUAAACUCUGUUUUUCGGUGACUUCUUGCACUACUUACCAUGCACAACUGAAAAGUUAGCCACUGUUCUUGGAGUUAUUGUUCUGAGUAUUGUGAAAUAUUUUUAGAAUGACACACCUGCUUGUCAAAUAAAAUGCUUAGCUGUAAAUAGAGUGCAAAGUUUAAUAAAGGCAAAAUCUCACAUG
rnacentral:lncRNA from 1 species